GGCAUCGAUAGUGCAAAUGGUUGAGCACACACCUCCGAAAAGGGUGAGAUGCAGGUUCAACUCUCGCCUGAAGUCA